CAGGACGAACGCUGGCGGCGUGCCUAAUACAUGCAAGUCGAACGGCUUUUCUAUGGAAGCUUGCUUCCACUGAGAAGAUAGUGGCGAACGGGUGAGUAACACGUGGGUAACCUGCCCAUAAGAGGGGGGAUAACAUCCGGAAACGGGUGCUAAUACCGCAUAGUUUUCUUGAUCGCAUGAUUGAGAAAGGAAAGACGGCCUUUGUGCUGUCGCUUAUGGAUGGACCCGCGGCGUAUUAGUUAGUUGGUGAGGUAACGGCUCACCAAGACGAUGAUACGUAGCCGACCUGAGAGGGUGAUCGGCCACAUUGGGACUGAGACACGGCCCAAACUCCUACGGGAGGCAGCAGUAGGGAAUCUUCCGCAAUGGACGAAAGUCUGACGGAGCAACGCCGCGUGAGUGAAAGAAGGUUUUCGGAUCGUAAAACUCUGUUGUCAGAGAAGAACAAGUUGGAGAGUAACUGCUCCAGCCUUGACGGUAUCUGACCAGAAAGCCACGGCUAACUACGUGCCAGCCGCGGC
rnacentral:rRNA from 1 species